rnacentral:rRNA from 1 species
AUGGAACCUGAGAUUUUUAAGUCUAUCGUGGAUUACCUUAGAAGAGAGAAUCUAUUGAAGGGCACGUCGCGUGUUACUGUCGAGGAGCAGUUGGCAAUGUUCAUGUACAUGAUUUCGCACAAUGCUAGUAAUCGAGAUCUACAAAAAUACUUUCAACACAACGCAAAAACAAUUCAUAGGAAGAUAAACAAGAUUUUUGACUUAAUUCCAACUCUAGCCCAAACAUUUAUAAAGAUUCCAAGUUCACUCGAGCCCCACCCGAAGAUUGUUUCGAACACUUGCUAUUGGCCUUAUUUCCAGGUGAACCACUACACACACAUCUCCAUAUCAAUGAAUUUUUUUAACUUCUCCACAUAG